GAACUGCGAUAAGUAAUGUGAAUUGCAGAAUUCAGUGAAUCAUCGAGUCUUUGAACGCACAUUGCGCCCCCUGGCAUUCCGGGGGGCAUGCCUGUCCGAGCAUCAUUGCUGCCCUUCAAGCCCGGCUUGUGUGUUGGGUCGUCGUCCCCUCCGGGGGACGGGCCCGAAAGGCAGCGGCGGCACCGCGUCCGGUCCUCGAGCGUAUGGGGCUUUGUCACCCGCUCGAUAAGGACCGGCCGGGCGCCAGCCGGCGUCUCCAACCUUUUUUUCUCAGGUUGACCUCGGAUCAGGUAGGGAUACCCGCUGAACUUAAGC
rnacentral:misc_RNA from 1 species